GAAUUUUCCGCAAUGGGCGAAAGCCUGACGGAGCAAUACCGCGUGAGGGAGGAAGGCUCUUGGGUUGUAAACCUCUUUUCUCAAGGAAGAAAAAAAUGACGGUACUUGAGGAAUAAGCAUCGGCUAACUCCGUGCCAGCAGCCGCGGUAAUACGGAGGAUGCAAGCGUUAUUCGGAAUUAUUGGGCGUAAAGCGUCCGCAGGUGGUAUUUCAAGUCUGCUGUCAAAGACCGAAGCUUAACUUCGGAAAGGCAGUGGAAACUGAAAAACUAGAGUACGGUAGGGGUAGAGGGAAUUUCCAGUGUAGCGGUGAAAUGCGUAGAGAUUGGAAAGAACACCAGUGGCGAAGGCGCUCUACUGGGCCGUAACUGACACUCAGGGACGAAAGCUAGGGGAGCGAAAGGGAUUAGAUACCCCUGUAGUC
rnacentral:rRNA from 1 species